rnacentral:rRNA from 1 species
AGCUUGCUUGGUGGAUCAGUGGCGAACGGGUGAGUAACACGUGAGCAACCUGCCCUGGACUCUGGGAUAAGCGCUGGAAACGGCGUCUAAUACUGGAUAUGAGCUCUCAUCGCAUGGUGGGGGUUGGAAAGAUUUUUCGGUCUGGGAUGGGCUCGCGGCCUAUCAGCUUGUUGGUGAGGUAAUGGCUCACCAAGGCGUCGACGGGUAGCCGGCCUGAGAGGGUGACCGGCCACACUGGGACUGAGACACGGCCCAGACUCCUACGGGAGGCAGCAGUGGGGAAUAUUGCACAAUGGGCGGAAGCCUGAUGCAGCAACGCCGCGUGAGGGAUGACGGCCUUCGGGUUGUAAACCUCUUUUAGCAGGGAAGAAGCGAGAGUGACGGUACCUGCAGAAAAAGCGCCGGCUAACUACGUGCCAGCAGCCGCGGUAAUACGUAGGGCGCAAGCGUUAUCCGGAAUUAUUGGGCGUAAAGAGCUCGUAGGCGGUUUGUCGCGUCUGCUGUGAAAUCCCGAGGCUCAACCUCGGGCCUGCAGUGGGUACGGGCAGACUAGAGUGCGGUAGGGGAGAUUGGAAUUCCUGGUGUAGCGGUGGAAUGCGCAGAUAUCAGGAGGAACACCGAUGGCGAAGGCAGAUCUCUGGGCCGUAACUGACGCUGAGGAGCGAA